rnacentral:rRNA from 1 species
CCCUUAGAUGCUCUGGGCCGCACGCGCGCUACACUGAUACGUUCAGCGAGUAUAUAACCUUGAUUGGAAAAUCUGGGUAAUCUUUUGAAUGCGUAUCGUGCUAGGGAUAGAUUAUUGCAAUUAUUAAUCUUGAACGAGGAAUUCCUAGUAAACGCAAGUCAUCAGCUUGCAUUGAUUACGUCCCUGCCCUUUGUACACACCGCCUGUCGCACAAACCGAUUGAAUGAUUCGGUGAAAAUUUUGGACAUCGAGAGUGGUGAUUAAUUUCGCUGCUCUUAAAUGGAAAGAAUUUAAACCUAAUUAUUUAGAGGAUUGUGAAGUCAUAACA